GCUUGCCGUGACGACUGCCCGCCAAAACCAAGACCUGACAACGGCCAUGUGUGAAAGUGAAUGCCUGUGACCUCAAGAAGUACCUUCAAUAUGAAUAAGUUAUUGGAUUUUCCCGAUGUUGAUGAUGUGUAAAAUUGUCCUCUUAACACCUUUCUCGGGACUUUUUGGGGACAAUAUUAAAAUUCAGAAGAGUUUUUAAUAUUUUUGGAUGGAAAGCAGCAAUACAUGCAAUGUCUUUGCAGAAAUAAACCGGGAAAGAAGAACCAAGAACCUAAUCAAAAGGCUUAGUUUUUGGUGCCUUUGACAUUUAUAUUUUAA